GAUGAAGAACGGCAGCGAAAUGCGAUAAGUAAUGUGAAUUGCAGAAUUCAGUGAAUCAUCGAAUCUUUGAACGCACAUUGCGCCCGCCAGUAUUCUGGCGGGCAUGCCUGUUCGAGCGUCAUUACAACCCUCAGGCCCCCGGGCCUGGCGUUGGGGAUCGGCGGAAGCCCCCUGCGGGCACAACGCCGUCCCCCAAAUACAGUGGCGGUCCCGCCGCAGCUUCCAUUGCGUAGUAGCUAACACCUCGCAACUGGAGAGCGGCGCGGCCACGCCGUAAAACACCCAACUUCUGAAUGUUGACCUCGAAUCAGGUAGGAAUACCCGCUGAACUUAAGCAUAUCAAUAAGCGGAGGA
rnacentral:misc_RNA from 1 species